CCUACGGGAGGCAGCAGUGAGGAAUAUUGGUCAAUGGGCGCGAGCCUGAUCCAGCCAAGCAGCGUGAAGGAUGACUGCCCUACGGGUUGUAAACUUCUUUUAUAAAGGAAUAAAGUGAGGCACGUGUGCCUUUUUGUAUGUACUUUAUGAAUAAGGAUCGGCUAACUCCGUGCCAGCAGCCGCGGUAAUACGGAGGAUCCGAGCGUUAUCCGGAUUUAUUGGGUUUAAAGGGAGCGUAGAUGGGUUGUUAAGUCAGUUGUGAAAGUUUGCGGCUCAACCGUAAAAUUGCAAUUGAUACUGGCAGUCUUGAGUACAGUUGAGGUAGGCGGAAUUCGUGGUGUAGCGGUGAAAUGCGUAGAUAUCACGAAGAACUCCGAUUGCGAAGGCAGCUUACUAAACUGACACUGACAUUGAUGCUCGAAAGUGUGGGUAUCAAACAGGAUUAGAUACCCGGGUAGUC
rnacentral:rRNA from 1 species